GUGCUCACUUUGGCGGCACACCCACUAAAACCCAAACGAUACAGACAAGAUUAGAAUGGCCCCUGCACAAGGAUGACACGCAAAUUCGUGAAGUAUUCUGUAUUUUU
ensembl:snRNA U6 U6 spliceosomal RNA